GCGCACACACACACACACGUACUGACAUACACACACUCAGAUACACACUGACACACAUAUUCUUUCAGAUACACAUACACUCUCACUGACAAAAACACAUACUCUUUGACAGACACACAUACAAACACAUAUACACUCUCACUUACAAACACUUACACACUCACUGACAAGCACAUUUACACUCUCACUGACAAGCACACAUACACACUCACUGACAAGCACACAUACACACUCAC